rnacentral:tRNA from 1 species
GGGGUGGUGGCGCAGUUGGCUAGCGUGUAGGUCUCAUAGCUGAAAGUGAAUCCUGAGGUCGAGAGUUCGAUCCUCUCUCACCCGA